CAGGCCUAACACAUGCAAGUCGAGCGGACUUAUCCUUCGGGAUAGGUUAGCGGCGGACGGGUGAGUAACACGUAGGCAACCUGCCUGUAAGAUCGGGAUAGCUACCGGAAACGGUAGCUAAGACCGGAUAGCUGGUUUCUCCGCAUGGGGGAAUCAUGAAACAUGGGGCAACCUGUGGCUUACGGAUGGGCCUGCGGCGCAUUAGCUAGUUGGUGGGGUAAUGGCCCACCAAGGCGACGAUGCGUAGCCGACCUGAGAGGGUGAUCGGCCACACUGGGACUGAGACACGGCCCAGACUCCUACGGGGGGCAGCAGUAGGGAAUCUUCCGCAAUGGGCGCAAGCCUGACGGAGCAACGCCGCGUGAGUGAUGAAGGUUUUCGGAUCGUAAAGCUCUGUUGCCAAGGAAGAACGCCUCGGAGAGUAACUGCUCUGAGGGUGACGGUACUUGAGAAGAAAGCCCCGGCUAACUACGUGCCAGCAGCCGCGGUAAUACGUAGGGGGCAAGCGUUGUCCGGAAUUAUUGGGCGUAAAGCGCGCGCAGGCGGUCUUUUAAGUUUGGUGUUUAAGCCCGGGGCUCAACCCCGGUUCGCACUGAAAACUGGGAGACUUGAGCGCAGGAGAGGAAAGCGGAAUUCCACGUGUAGCGGUGAAAUGCGUAGAGAUGUGGAGGAACACCAGUGGCGAAGGCGGCUUUCUGGACUGUAACUGACGCUGAGGCGCGAAAGCGUGGGGAGCAAACAGGAUUAGAU
rnacentral:rRNA from 1 species